UAUUAAAAGUACCAUACAUCUUUAUUGUUAAAAUUUAACGUAGCUAGUAGAAUAACAAAAAAAUUACACGUGGUGUGCUCCACAUGUACCUCAUUCUAACGUAUAGGGACUGGUUUUUAACAAUAGAAUUGAAUGAAAUUUUUAACA
rfam:Gossypium arboreum cultivar AKA8401 contig_2707_9, whole genome shotgun sequence.